AACUAAGUUUGUUCUGGGUAUAAGCUUUCGUGUGCAUGGACACUUCUUCAGAUAUCAGAUACCUCUCCAUAUCUGAAGAAGUGUGCAUGCACACAAAAGCUUAUACCCAGAACAAUCUUAGUUG